rnacentral:tRNA from 1 species
AGUUAAUGAACUUGUAUAAGUAUAUAUUUUGAAAGUAUAAAAAAAGAUAAAUAAAUCUUAUUGACUU